rnacentral:rRNA from 1 species
GGAGAAGGCUAUGUUGGCCGGGCGACGGUUGUCCCGGUUUAAGCGUGUAGGCUGGUUUUCCAGGCAAAUCCGGAAAACCAAGGCUGAGGCGUGAUGACGAGGCACUACGGUGCUGAAGCGACAAAUGCCCUGCUUCCAGGAAAAGCCUCUAAGCAUCAGGUAACAUCAAAUCGUACCCCAAACCGACACAGGUGGUCAGGUAGAGAAUACCAAGGCGCUUGAGAGAACUCGGGUGAAGGAACUAGGCAAAAUGGUGCCGUAACUUCGGGAGAAGGCACGCUGAUAUGUAGGUGAAGCGACUUGCUCGUGGAGCUGAAAUCAGUCGAAGAUACCAGCUGGCUGCAACUGUUUAUUAAAAACACAGCACUGUGCAAACACGAAAGUGGACGUAUACGGUGUGACGCCUGCCCGGUGCCGGAAG